AAUUUAAUGAAACUGUUCGAAUCAUGUUCGAUCAAUAGAUUGCAAUAGUGCAAUAAAAUAAUUAUCUUGAAAUCGAUAAUAAACUCAUAAACCGUAAAAUGGUCCGAUUUUUUACUGCCUUGUCGAUUUCAAAGAAAAUUAAAAUGAUUAUUGGUUUUUAUGAAAAAAUCCGUUCUUCCUCUUCUGCAGGGAUUCUUUAAUAAAAACAGAUUCGAGAAGUGAAAUUAUAUAGCCAUAAAGGAAUUUGGGAAACUGAAUUAUUUGCUCCUGUAAGCAAAUUGGAUCAAAAUGGGAAAAGUGAGUAUUACUAUUACCGAAAUUGUCCAUGAGGAGUGAAUAACAUCUGAGAAAAUCUUCAAAAAAAUAUAAAUUGUAUAUGAGGUGUGAAUAACAACUGAGAACAUCUUCGAAACAUUAUAAAUUGUCCUUGAGGAGUGAAUUACAACUGAGGAAAUCUUCGAAAAAUUAUAAAUUGUCCAUGAGGAGUGAAAAACAACUGAGGAAAUCUUCGAAAAAUUAUAAAUUUUCCAUGAGGAGUGAAUAAAGACUGAGAAAAUCUUCGAAAAAUUAUAAAUUUUCCAUGAGGAGUGAAUAACGACUGAGAAAAUCUUCGAAAAAUUAUAAAUUGUCCAUGAGGAGUGAAUAACAACAGAGAAAAUCUUCGAAACAUUAUAAAUUUUCCAUGAGGAGUGAAUAAAGACUGAGAAAAUCUUCGAAAAAUUAUAAAUUGUCCAUGAGGAGUGAAUAACAACAGAGAAAAUCUUCGAAACAUUAUAAAUUUUCCAUGAGGAGUGAAUAAAGACUGAGAAAAUCUUCGAAAAAUUAUAAAUUGUCCAUGAGGAGUGAAUAACAACAGAGAAAAUCUUCGAAACAUUAUAAAUUUUCCAUGAGGAGUGAAUAAAGACUGAGAAAAUCUUCGAAAAAUUAUAAAUUGUCCAUGAGGAGUGAAUAAAGACUGAAAAAAUCUUCGAAAAAUUAUAAAUUGUCCAUGAGGAGUGAAUAACAACUAAGAAAAUCUUAUUUUAUGUAAGCCUGACAUUUAUUUUAAUAUUUUCUUUCUGUCUGUACUUCAUCAUCAUACAUAAUAUAUGAUGAUGAAAUUAUCAUUUUUUUUCUGACAGCUCUUUAGAAAAAUUCUUGUUGAAAAAUAUAAAUCUGAUGAAAAAUCUU